AGCUUGCACUCGGGUGACAGUAGCGUGCGGUAGGGUGAGUAAUGUCUGGGAAACUGCCUGAUGGAGGGGGAUAACUACUGGAAACGGUAGCUAAUACCGCAUAACGUCGCAAGACCAAAGUGGGGGACCUUCGGGCCUCAUGCCAUCAGAUGUGCCCAGAUGGGAUUAGCUAGUAGGUGGGGUAAUGGCUCACCUAGGCGACGAUCCCUAGCUGGUCUGAGAGGAUGACCAGCCACACUGGAACUGAGACACGGUCCAGACUCCUACGGGAGGCAGCAGUGGGGAAUAUUGCACAAUGGGCGCAAGCCUGAUGCAGCCAUGCCGCGUGUAUGAAGAAGGCCUUCGGGUUGUAAAGUACUUUCAGCGAGGAGGAAGGCGUUAAGGUUAAUAACCUUGGCGAUUGACGUUACUCGCAAGAAAAAGCACCGGCUAACUCCGUGCCAGCAGCCGCGGUAAUACGGAGGGUGCAAGCGUUAAUCGGAAUUACUGGGCGUAAAGCGCACGCAGGCGGUCUGUCAAGUCGGAUGUGAAAUCCCCGGGGCUCAAACCUGGGAACUGCAAUUCAAAAACUGGCCAAGGCCAUAUAGUCUUGUAAAGGGGGGGUAGAAUUUCCAAGGUGUAAGCGG
rnacentral:rRNA from 1 species